rnacentral:rRNA from 1 species
AUUGAACGCUGGCGGCAUGCCUUACACAUGCAAGUCGAACGGCAGCGGGGGAGAAGCUUGCUUUUCCUGCCGGCGAGUGGCGAACGGGUGAGUAAUACAUCGGAACGUGCCCUGUAGUGGGGGAUAACUAGUCGAAAGAUUAGCUAAUACCGCAUACGACCUGAGGGUGAAAGUGGGGGACCGCAAGGCCUCAUGCUAUAGGAGCGGCCGAUGUCUGAUUAGCUAGUUGGUGGGGUAAGGCGUAGCAAGGCGACGAUCAGUAGCUGGUCUGGGAGGACGAACAGCCACACUGAGACUGAGACACGGGCCAGACUCCUACGGGAGGCAGCAGUGGGGAAUUUUGGACAAGGGGCGAAAGCCUGAUCCAGCAAUGCCGCGUGUGUGAAGAAGGCCUUCGGGUUGUAAAGCACUUUUGUCCGGAAAGAAAUGGCUCUGGUUAAUACCUGGGGUCGAUGACGGUACCGGAAGAAUAAGGACCGGCUAACUACGUGCCAGCCGCCGCCGUAAAAC